AUGGCGGCCGCGGAGGUGUACUCGCCGACCGCGGCGGCGGCGGCGCAGCACCAGCAGCGCGGGAAGGCGGCGACGCAGGCGUGGCAGGCGGUCGUCGGCUGGAUCGGCUUCCUCCUCCAGGUCCUGCUCCAGAUCCUCCGCGGCACGCCCUCCUGCGCCCAGCUCCUCUCCUUCGUCGGCUUCCGCUACCCGCUCCUCUCCGCCACGGCCGCCCCCGACCAGCCGUCCCCGGAGGUGGCCUUCAUGCCGCUCCGCUCCGAGAUCCCGGCCGACGCCGCCCCCGUCCCGGCGCCCCCGCCCGAGCCCCUCGAGCGCCUCACGGUAGUGCUUGACUUGGACGAGACUUUAGUUUCUGCGUACGAAUCAUCUGGUCUUCCUCCUAUUGUACGCACCCAAGCUGUUGAAGCUGGAUUACAUUGCUUUGACAUGGAGUGCAUAUCAACUGAUAAGGAUGUUGAAGGAAAACAAAAGGUGAAUCAUGUUACUGUUUUUGAACGUCCUGGUCUGCAUGAGUUCUUGCAGAAAACUAGUGAAUUCGCAGAUCUUAUCCUCUUUACAGCGGGUUUGGAAGGUUAUGCAAGACCUUUAGUGGACAUAAUAGAUGCUCACAAUAGGUUCAAACUCCGUCUCUAUCGUCCAUCAACUGUUACUACGGAAUAUAGAGAGCAUGUGAAAGAUCUUUCUUGCCUGUCAAAAGAUUUCAGUAGAAUCGUCAUUGUCGACAACAAUCCGUUCAGCUUCAUAGUGCAGCCUUUGAAUGGAAUACCUUGUGUUCCAUUUUCAGCUGGUCAACACUCAGACGAUCAACUGAUGGAGGUUAUCUUCCCGCUCCUGAAGCAUCUCUCUGUCCAGAGGGAUGUGAGGCCAGCCCUGUACGAAAGGUUUCAUAUGCCAGAAUGGUUCCAAAAGCAUGGGAUCCCUCGAACUGAUCAGGCCUCCUAA
rnacentral:rRNA from 1 species